GCGUAAAGAGCUCGUAGGUGGUUUGUCGCGUUGUUCGUGAAAACUCACAGCUUAACUGUGGGCGUGCGGGCGAUACGGGCAGACUAGAGUACUGCAGGGGAGACUGGAAUUCCUGGUGUAGCGGUGGAAUGCGCAGAUAUCAGGAGGAACACCGGUGGCGAAGGCGGGUCUCUGGGCAGUAACUGACGCUGAGGAGCGAAAGCGUGGGGAGCGAACAGGAUUAGAUACCCUGGUAGUCCACGCCGUAAACGGUGGGUACUAGGUGUGGGUUCCUUCCUUGGGAUCCGUGCCGUAGCUAACGCAUUAAGUACCCCGCCUGGGGAGUACGGCCGCAAGGCUAAAACUCAAAGGAAUUGACGGGGGCUCGCACAAGCGGCGGAGCAUGUGGAUUAAUUCGAUGCAACGCGAAGAACCUUACCUGGGUUUGACAUGCACAGGACGCCGGCAGAGAUGUCGGUUCCCUUGUGGCCUGUGUGCAGGUGGUGCAUGGCUGUCGUCAGCUCGUGUCGUGAGAUGUUGGGUUAAGUCCCGCAACGAGCGCAACCCUUGUCCUAUGUUGCCAGCGGGUUAUGCCGGGGACUCGUAGGAGACUGCCGGGGUCAACUCGGAGGAAGGUGGGGAUGACGUCAAGUCAUCAUGCCCCUUAUGUCCAGGGCUUCACACAUGCUACAAUGGCCGGUACAAAGGGCUGCGAUGCCGUGAGGUGGAGCGAA
rnacentral:rRNA from 1 species